UACGGAGGGGGCUAGCGUUGUUCGGAAUUAUUGGGCGUAAAGGGCGCGUAGGCGGCAGGAUAAGUCUGACGUGAAAUCCCUCGGCCUAACCGAGGAACUGCGUCUGAAACUGUCCAGCUCGAGUCCGGGAGAGGGUAGUGGAAUUCCCAGUGUAGCGGUGAAAUGCGUAGAUAUUGGGAGGAACACCGGUGGCGAAGGCGGCUACCUGGACCGGUAUUGACGCUGAGGCGCGAAAGCCAGGGGAGCAAACGGG
rnacentral:rRNA from 1 species